GGACGCAUCACUGGUGUUCGGGUUGUCAUGCCAAUGGCACUGCCCGGUAGCUAAAUGCGGAAGAGAUAAGUGCUGAAAGCAUCUAAGCACGAAACUUGCCCCGAGAUGAGUUCUCCCUGAGACUUUAAGUCUCCUGAAGGAACGUUGAAGACGACGACGUUGAUAGGCCGGGUGUGUAAGCGCAGCGAUGCGUUGAGCUAACCGGUACUAAUGAACCGUGAGGCUUAACCUU
rnacentral:rRNA from 3 species